UGCCAGACUCCUACGGGAGGCAGCAGUGGGGGAUAUUGCACAAUGGGGGGAACCCUGAUGUAGCGACGCCGCGUGGGUGAAGAAGCGCCUCGGCGCGUAAAGCCCUGUCAGCAGGGAAGAAAAUGACGGUACCUGAAGAAGAAGCCCCGGCUAACUACGUGCCAGCAGCCGCGGUAAUACGUAGGGGGCAAGCGUUAUCCGGAUUUACUGGGUGUAAAGGGAGCGUAGACGGCAGUGCAAGUCCGGAGUGAAAGCCCGGGGCUCAACCCUGGGACUGCUCUGGAAACUGUAAAGCUGGAGUGCGGGAGGGGCAGGCGGAAUUCCUGGUGUAGCGGUGAAAUGCGUAGAUAUCAGGAGGAACACCGGCGGCGAAGGCGGCCUGCUGGACCGUAACUGACGUUGAGGCUCGAAAGCGUGGGGAGCAAACAGGAUUAGAUACCCCGGUA
rnacentral:rRNA from 1 species